UGCUAAAUGUUGAGCCGCUGACAUGAUCUGAUCUGAUCGCGGACGGGGGUCACAGAACGCCCGGGAUAAAUUGACUACCGAUGAAACAUUUAAUUAAAAGGUUAGUAUAAAUUUACACAUUUAUAAAUUUUCUGGUGUGCUCCCUUGAACUGUGUUAGUAUUCUAGAAAAAGUGCUGUAGAGUAGUUUAACUAACCAAGAGAACAUUAUAUUUGCUGUGUUCGUGUAAUGUACUCAGGUGAAUAAGAUGCUUGUGAUGUUACUCUGAGUGUAUAUCCACACCGCGCAGACCUGAAAAUUUAUGCCUGCAUGGCCACGGUGGGAAUCGAGCCUACGACCUUUGGAA